CCGGCUAACUUCGUGCCAGCAGCCGCGGUAAUACGAGGGGGGCAAGCGUUGUUCGGAUUUAUUGGGCGUAAAGGGUGCGUAGGCGGUUUGGCAAGUCUCGUGUGAAAUCUAUGGGCUCAACCCAUAGUCUGCACGAGAAACUACCGGGCUUGAGUGAUGGAGAGGUGAGUGGAAUUUCCGGUGUAGCGGUGAAAUGCGUAGAUAUCGGAAGGAACACCUGUGGCGAAAGCGGCUCACUGGACAUUAACUGACGCUGAUGCACGAAAGCUAGGGGAGCAAACAGGAUUAGAUACCCUGGUAGUCCUAGCCCUAAACGAUGAUUGCUUGGUGUGGCAGGUACCCAAUCCUGCCGUGCCGAAGCUAACGCGAUAAGCAAUCCGCCUGGGGAGUACGGUCGCAAGACUGAAACUCAAAGGAAUUGACGGGGGCCCGCACAAGCGGUGGAGCAUGUGGUUUAAUUCGACGCAACGCGAAGAACCUUACCUGGGCUCGAAAUGCUAGUGAAUCCGGCAGAAACGUCGGCGUCUCGCAAGAGACACUAGUAUAGGUGCUGCA
rnacentral:rRNA from 1 species